rnacentral:rRNA from 1 species
GACGAACGCUGGCGGCGUGCCUAAUACAUGCAAGUGGGACGCAAGGAAACACACUGUGCUUGCACACCGUGUUUUCUUGAGUCGCGAACGGGUGAGUAACGCGUAGGUAACCUGCCUAUUAGCGGGGGAUAACUAUUGGAAACGAUAGCUAAUACCGCAUAAUAUUAAUUAUUGCAUGAUAAUUGAUUGAAAGAUGCAAGCGCAUCACUAGUAGAUGGACCUGCGUUGUAUUAGCUAGUUGGUAAGGUAAGAGCUUACCAAGGCGACGAUACAUAGCCGACCUGAGAGGGUGAUCGGCCACACUGGGACUGAGGCACGGCCCAGACUCCUACGGGAGGCAGCAGUAGGGAAUCUUCGGCAAUGGACGAAAGUCUGACCGAGCAACGCCGCGUGAGUGAAGAAGGUUUUCGGAUCGUAAAGCUCUGUUGUAAGUCAAGAACGUGUGUGAGAGUGGAAAGUUCACACAGUGACGGUAGCUUACCAGAAAGGGACGGCUAACUACGUG